GGUGCCAAUGUUCCUGGGGACAAGUGUAAGAAUUGUGUGUGUGGUGACAGUGUGGAUGCCCAAAGCCAUCUACAUAUCAUUGAGUGUCAACCUACUGAAUGUGACACUCACUACCAGCAGGGCUAUGAUCAUCAAGCCGUUCCUGGGCAGUGUUGUGGGAAGUGUGUACAGACAAGCUGUGUGGUUAUGCUGCCAGAUAAUACCACACACACUAUUCAGACAAGUGUCUCAAGUUUGAGUGCGUAAAGAUCAUGGGCCAACUCAUCCCAAUUGAGGCUAAGACCGUGUGCCCUGACUUCCACCCAGAAGAUUGCCUACCCGUUGCUGAAGCAUUGUUCCAGGAGGUCUUCAAGCACUGAUCUUCCGGAGAAGCUGGGGGUCAUCGUCAGCCUUACUUCUUAGUCUAACAGGCAGGUGGAGAGGAUGAACCAAGAGCUGGGGAGGUUCCUGAGGAGUCACUGCCAGGACCGGCAGGGGGUGUGGGCCCAAUUCCUUUCCUGGGCAGAAUACGCCCACAAUUCAUCGCCUCACUCCUCCAUCGGGCCGACUGCCUUCCAAUGUGUUCUGGGAUACCAGCCAGCCCUGGCUCCGUGGACCCCGAGCCAGAUCGAAGCUCCUGCAGUAGAUGAGGGUUCAGGUGCACGGAGGAGGUUUGGAAUGAUGCCCAGGUGAGGCUCCAGCACGCCAUUCGCCGCCAAAAGGAGCAGGCGGAUCACCAUUGCAUUGAGGCUCCCGUGUUCGCGUCUGGCUCUCCACCAGGAACCUCCCACUCCGCCUGCCCUGUAUGAAGCUGAGCCCCCAGGCCGUUGGUUAAUGGUCCCUUGGCUGAUGCCGUCCCCCAUGACACCCCUCCACCUCCCCUGGACAUCGAGGGGAGCCCUGCCUGUGCCAUCAGAUCCCUUCUGGAUUCCUGACGUCAUGGGGGCCGGCUCCAGUAUCUGGUGGACUGGGAGGGGUACGGUCCAGAGGAGCGGUGUUGGGUCCUGGUGGAUGAUAUUCUAGAUCCCGAGAUUUCCACCUUCGCCGCCCGGACCAGCCUGUUCCUUGCCCUUGGGGCCGUCCCCCUGGCCGGCAUCCCCCUGGACCACUGGUCCUGACAACCAUUACGCACACCUGCGCCUCAUCAUUAUGCACACCUGAACUUCAUCACUAUCUUGACUACUUCCCCUUUAUUUAGCACUCUGUAGCCUCACUCAUCAUUGGUUCUCUCACUCAUUGGUUCUGUUUUCUUGUCCAGACACUUCUUUUGUUUUGUAUCUCUCCAUGUUCGUUAUUAUUAAACUCACCAACUGCACCUGCUUCCAGACUCCUGCAUCUCCGUUACAGGCAUACAGGAUGCAGUUCCUGGAUCAGCUUGGUGAGUCACACCAGCCUAUGAAUACCAACUAUGAAUACAAUUAGUUGGAUUACUCCUUUGCGCAACAGCAGAGAGACAAAUGUUUGCAUUUGGACAAUGUGUGCUCAAGAUACUGAGCCAAUAAAGUGGAUUAAUGUAUUAUUCAUCUGUUAUACAUUGCCAAAGUUUGGGAUGGCCAUGGAGAUGCACAUUUUUGUUCUAUCAAAUCUCACUACUUAUGAUGAAUGUAUCUGUAAUUAUACAUUAAAAUCUGCUUUUGGGAUAAUGGGGAUCCUAAUACAAUACCAAAUGCUUAAACCACUGGAGUGGAGAUGCUGCCUGAGAUAGAUACUGAAUGAGGAAGGAAGACACCUCUCCUUGUAAAAAAGGAAAUCACAUAAGACUAAGUAACUUCUCUUGUGCAAUAUAGAUGUGUAGGGGUCACGUUCUGACCUCAGUUCCUUUUUUUAUGUCUUUGUGUUAGGUUGUUCAGGGUGUGAGUUGGGGUGGGU